rnacentral:rRNA from 1 species
UACGUAGGGGGCAAGCGUUGUCCGGAUUCAUUGGGCGUAAAGAGCGUGUAGGCGGCCAGGUAGGUCGGUUGUGAAAACUGGAGGCUCAACCUUCAGAGGUCGACCGAAACCAUCUGGCUAGAGUCCGGGAGAGGAGAGUGGAAUUCCUGGUGUAGCGGUGAAAUGCGUAGAUAUCGGGAGGAACACCUGUGGCGAAAGCGGCUCACUGGACCACAACUGACGCUGAGGCGCGAAAGCUAGGGGAGCAAACAGGG